rnacentral:lncRNA from 1 species
AUUUGAAAGGCCAGUGACAAAGGAAGAGGAAGUCAUACAGAGAAAUCUUUCAUCCACUGGUUCACUCUCCAAAUGGCGGCAAUAGCCAUGUCUGGGUGAGGCCAAAACUAGCCAGGAACUCCAUCCUGGUCUCACAUGAGUAGCAGGUGCCCAAGUACUUGAGAUAUCUUAUUCUGUCUUUCUAGCAGCAUUAGCAGGAAGCUGGUUUGGAAUCUGAACAGAUGGGACUUGAAUGUGUACCAUGAUUUGGGAUGCUGGCCCUACAAGUGGCAGCCUAACCCACUAUGCCACAACAUUGGCCCCUCAAGUAUUUCUAUAUUAUUUUUUUCUGUAGUCAUAAUCUUUGCUGAAAUCUCCCAUCUGAUCUUCCAUGUUGUCAGUCUUUUCCAUUAGAACUUUUGGUAUGUUAAUUUAGGUAUUUUUGAUAUGUGUGUCAUUUAUGAAUCUGACAUUGAUUGCUUUGUUCUUUGGGAGUAUUUUUUCUUCCUUUUUGUAUGUAAUCCAUUUUUGAUUAAAAGCAAAUAUCUUUUUCAGUAAUGUCUAGACUGAGAUAAAUAUUCUCCAGCCCUGGAAAAUGGCAAACCCUGUCCCAGGAGUUAGUGUGGGGUUUAAUGGUCAGGAGUGGGUUGGACUUAAGGUUGAUAGUUUCUGUGGUUACCCUCAGGGCACCAUCAGCUUCAAAUUCCUCUAAUUAUAUGUUUAUGUUUGGAGUGAGGUUGAUUUGCCAAAGCCAUGUCUUCUAGACCUUCAGCUGCAGGUUUCAAUCUAUGUUUUUCCACAAAAGAGUUUCUUUGCCAGCUCUCUUGCACCUCCCCAGCCGUGUUCUGCUAUAGCCAUUCAGAGUUAUCAGCUGGGCUGCAUGGACAACCGGAGGAACAUUGUCUAUUUGUACCAAAAGUGGAUACACCUACAGAAGGGAGAGAAGCUGCUGAAGUCUCAGUGCUGCGGAAAGUGAUUGUGAUAAUGCAUUUAGCUUCUUGCAACGCCAGAAAGACACAGUGGAGUACUGCAGCUGCAUCAUCCAUGACGACUUUGUUUUCCCUCAUUAGUGGCUACUUUUGAGUUCUCCCCAGAACACAUCUGUCUUUGCUGCACUUUUUUCAUUUCAUAUUCUUCGAGCUGAGGUAUUACAGGUAUGUGUGGCACAAACUCCAGAUAAAUUCACAUACAUAUUAAAAGAGUGGUAGGAAUAAAAUGGAUGUGUUCUGCA